UACGUAGGGGGCUAGCGUUGCUCGGAAUCACUGGGCGUAAAGCGCACGUAGGCGGAUUGCUAAGUCAGGGGUGAAAUCCUGGAGCUCAACUCCAGAACUGCCUUUGAUACUGGCAACCUUGAGUCCGGGAGAGGUGAGUGGAACUGCGAGUGUAGAGGUGAAAUUCGUAGAUAUUCGCAAGAACACCAGUGGCGAAGGCGGCUCACUGGCCCGGUACUGACGCUGAGGUGCGAAAGCGUGGGGAGCAAACGGG
rnacentral:rRNA from 1 species